UACGUAGGGGGCAAGCGUUGUCCGGAUUUAUUGGGCGUAAAGAGCGUGUAGGCGGCCAGGUAGGUCAGCUGUGAAAACUCGAGGCUCAACCUCGAGACGCCGGUUGAAACCAUCUGGCUAGAGUCCGGAAGAGGAGAGUGGAAUUCCUGGUGUAGCGGUGAAAUGCGUAGAUAUCGAGAGGAACACCUGCGGCGAAGGCGGGUUGCUGGGCCGACACUGACGCUGAUGCGCGAAAGCCAGGGGAGCGAACGGG
rnacentral:rRNA from 1 species